CUCUACUCUUUCUCUCUCAGAUCAGUGAUAUUCACCCCACCCACCCCAAAGCACAUUUCUAUGUCUAUGAGAUGGAUGAACCAGAUAAAUCUUUGAGGGCCUGUUUGUGAGACUCUCUUCUACUGGCUUCAGCAGACUCCUGAGGGCUUUUGAUCAGCUAAUUCACAGCCCCUGGCAGGACUUUGGCUCCCUCAGUUGGAUCAUCUGCACCUGCAACCAGAGGCUUGUGCUUCAGAGAGAACCUGGGGCAGUCUCCCCCUAACCAUGGCAAGGUCACCCCUUCGUUCCUGAAAGCCCACGUCCUGAUGGCAUUGCUGACAUUUCCUCUUGCAGUCACAACCAGCUUUCAGAGCAGUGGAGGAAAAAAAAAAAAAAAGUAUCCAGUGAGAUGAUAUCAAAUCACAGCAAGAUAAAAACUUUGUGGCAGCGAUCCAGAGCAAAAUGUUACCACCUGCUCGUCUCUGGGCCUGUCAUUAUGACUUUAAAACUCUCCUGUGCUCCACUGUCAAGCAAUUAAGCACUGUGCAGAGUCUGUGACUACUAAAGUACCGCAUUUGCGAACUCCCACUAAUGAUCUGAGUAGAGGAAUACAAAGGAGGAAAACGCAGCAGCUCAAUCUAAUGGCACAAAAGAGCAGGCUGACAGCUUUGGCUCCUUGCCCAGCGUCAGGCCAGCAGCUCACCUCGCGCGCCCAGCACUGACACUUUGUUGGGAGCUCCGUCAGGAUCCACAGGUGCGCAGCUGCAGAUGUGUGCACAAACACACGUGCAGAUGCACGUCCUCUGCUCCCUAGUGUGGGGCUAACAAGCUGCUCGGAUGGUUAUGCAGCCUAUUUAGAGAGAGACAUUUUGAGACGUAAGCAGUGCUCGGAGCACCUGUAGGAACAUCAAUCAUGGAUUUCAAGCUCUUGACAGUGCAGCCUGACUUCAGUGAUCAGCACAGACACAGCAAGGUCCAACCACGGGGACCAAGCCCAGUCAGCGAGCUGUUUCUCUCCGGCAUACCUCUUCCCCUCGAGGCUGGGAAGGAAGGAAGGCACCUGCAUGCACCGGGGUGGGAAAGCAAGCUGCAGCCACCCCAGCGGGCAGCAGCCUGGGAGACGAGCCACAAAACCCAAAGCCAGUCCCCGUGUCUGCCAGUGGGCUGUGGGUUAGGGUGUUUCCAAAGCCUUAUGACAUUUGGUUUUCCUUUCACAUACAGAAAUCUUCAUCCCAUGGAGGAUUUAGACUGCUGCCAAGUACUUAAACCUAACUUGAUGACUUCUGCUUUGAACAUACUUAAAUACUGUUAAGUAAGGGCACAAGACACUGCCCUUACUCAGCUGUCAAAAGGGAUUUUAUGAAGCUUUCACCUUUGGGACCAGGUCAAGUAGGACAGAGUCUCAUGUCCUGCAAGCUGCAUUUAUGUUGAAAGUAGGGAAAGGGGUAGUUUGCUGCUGAGUAAGUGCUUGGCCCUAAUAGACACUUAAACUUUAACUUGGCACACAGCUAAAAUGCAAUAGGGAGAGAGCAAGCACACAAACAUGGAAGUUGAGACCCAUAUGACAACAUUCAUGAUGGAUGAGUAUGGAUGGAGUUGGAAAGAGACAGCAAGGAUGGACUACACUCAUGACCUCUGUCAAUAUUCCUCUGAGCACCACUUGGAACCAGCACAAGAAUAGAUUGCUCUUUAUCUGCUCUAUAAUCCUGUCUAUUGCUAACUAAAGUUUCCAAAUAAUCAGAAUGAAACCACAGAUAACCACGAGAGCUGCCUAAAAUAAAAAAACGAUACUUUUAUUAUCAGUGCUAGAAACUGUUUGUUAGAAUUCUAGUUUUUUAAUCUUCAGGGUUUGUAUUUUCAGGUCUUGCUCUGCAAUCAUCAUAUGAAGAUUAAGCUUUUAUAUGAAAUGCUGUGUUUUACUUUCUUUUUAAAUGCUCCGUGGUUCUGAGAAAUUCAGCUUUAGAGAAGAAAAAAAAAAAGAAAAAAAAAGAAGUAAUAAAAGAGAAAGAAAAAAAAAAAGAAAUAAAAGACCUGGAACAGGAAAACUCCCUAGGAAGGGGCAAGACCCUUCAAAUCCAAGUCAAUACAUGUCCUCUACUUGUCAAAGCUACACAUCCACAUAAGCUGGAGAAACAUCACCCAGAAGCCCCAUGCUGUUCACAUCACCCAA